rnacentral:sRNA from 1 species
GUUUUGCGUAAGCGAUUGCAGUGACAUCCUUUUAUUUUUUGGAAUUCUGUGUGCUGUGCCGUUUGUUUUUUAGAUAAACAAGGCAACAGUUCCAUAAAAAUAAAAGAUAUAACGGAAAGCGCGACCCUUU